UUUGGUAUGCACUGCCGCCCACAUUUAAAUCCAUCUUUGCACACCUAGGAAAGUUAACUAUAUGUUAAAAACAUCACACGCGGAAAAAAGAUAAAACUUUCUUCAGCAUAACUACAGCCCCAGUGGUUGCAACUAAAAUGCUUUCUCGGACACCUCCAAGGAUUCAUCCCAUCAUUUGGAAAAAUUGUGAAAUUGGCUGCAUGACAUUAAAAUUGAUUUUUCAAUAAAUUACUGAAAAUGUGAGAAAAUAGUAACAAAACCUUCGUUCCCCUUUGUAAAUAUAUCCAGAAAAGUAGAAGAGCCAUUCCAAGUUGCCGUGUACUGGGAGCUCAUGUCAAACGUGUAUUUACGACACUUAUCCAGAGGUUUCCACUCGAUUGAACAUGAAUGCGGAUUAGUUGGCAACAUCAUAGAGAACACGUUGACUUCAUUUCGAUCCUG